rnacentral:rRNA from 1 species
GACGUAGGGUGCAAGCGUUGUCCGGAUUUACUGGGCGUAAAGAGCGCGUAGGCGGCUCGUUAAGUGAGAAGUGAAAGCUCUGGGCUCAACCCAGAAACCGCUUUUCAUACUGGCAAGCUGGAGUGAUGCAGAGGUGGAUAGAAUUCCCGGUGUAGCGGUGAAAUGCGUUGAUAUCGGGAGGAAUACCCGUGGCGAAGGCGGUCCACUGGGCAUCAACUGACGCUGAGGCGCGAAAGCGUGGGGAGCAAACAGG